AUUGAACGCUGGCGGCAGGCCUAACACAUGCAAGUCGAGCGGAUGACGGGAGCUUGCUCCUUGAUUCAGCGGCGGACGGGUGAGUAAUGCCUAGGAAUCUGCCUGGUAGUGGGGGACAACGUUUCGAAAGGAACGCUAAUACCGCAUACGUCCUACGGGAGAAAGCAGGGGACCUUCGGGCCUUGCGCUAUCAGAUGAGCCUAGGUCGGAUUAGCUAGUAGGUGAGGUAAUGGCUCACCUAGGCGACGAUCCGUAACUGGUCUGAGAGGAUGAUCAGUCACACUGGAACUGAGACACGGUCCAGACUCCUACGGGAGGCAGCAGUGGGGAAUAUUGGACAAUGGGCGAAAGCCUGAUCCAGCCAUGCCGCGUGUGUGAAGAAGGUCUUCGGAUUGUAAAGCACUUUAAGUUGGGAGGAAGGGCAGUAAGUUAAUACCUUGCUGUUUUGACGUUACCGACAGAAUAAGCACCGGCUAACUCUGUGCCAGCAGCCGCGGUAACAC
rnacentral:rRNA from 1 species